rnacentral:rRNA from 1 species
CGGCAGCACGGACUUCGGUCUGGUGGCGAGUGGCGAACGGGUGAGUAAUGCGCCGGAACGUAUCCAGUAGAGGGGGAUAACGCAGCGAAAGCUGUGCUAAUACCGCAUACGCCCUGAGGGGGAAAGCAUGGGAUCUUCGGACCAUGCGUUAUUGGAGCGGCCGACGUCUGAUUAGCUAGUAGGUGAGGUAAAGGCUCACCUAGGCGAUGAUCAGUAGCUGGUCUGAGAGGAUGAUCAGCCACACUGGAACUGAGAGACGGUCCAGACUCCUACGGGAGGCAGCAGUGGGGAAUUUUGGACAAUGGGCGCAAGCCUGAUCCAGCCAUUCCGCGUGAGUGAAGAAGGCCUUCGGGUUGUAAAGCUCUUUCGGCAGGGAAGAAAAGGUUCUGGUUAAUAACUGGAACUGCUGACGGUACCUGAAGAAGAAGCACCGGCUAACUACGUGCCAGCAGCCGCGGUAAUACGUAGGGUGCGAGCGUUAAUCGGAAUUACUGGGCGUAAAGGGUGCGCAGGCGGCUCUGUAAGUCUGACGUGAAAUCCCCGGGCUUAACCUGGGAACUGCGUUGGAAACUGUAGAGCUAGAGUGUAGCAGAGGGGGGUAGAAUUCCACGUGUAGCAGUGAAAUGCGUAGAGAUGUGGAGGAAUACCGAUGGCGAAGGCAGCCCCCUGGGUUAACACUGACGCUCAGGCACGAAAGCGUGGGUAGCAAACAGGAUUAGAUACCCUGGUAGUCCACGCCCUAAACGAUGUCAACUAGUUGUUGGGGAGGGAGACCUCCUUGGUAACGCAGCUAACGCGUGAAGUUGACCGCCUGGGGAGUACGGUCGCAAGA